GGCGUGCCUAAUACAUGCAAGUCGAGCGGACCGACGGGAGCUUGCUCCCUUAGUCAGCGGCGGACGGGUGAGUAACACGUGGGUAACCUGCCUGUAAGACUGGGAUAACUCCGGGAAACCGGGGCUAAUACCGGAUGCUUGAUUGAACCGCAUGGUUCAAUCAUAAAAGGUGGCUUUUACCUACCACUUACAGAUGGACCCGCGGCGCAUUAGCUAAUUGGUGAGGUAACGGCUGACCAAGGCGACGAUGCGUAUCCGACCUGAAGGGUGAUCGGCCACACUGGGACUGAGACACGGCCCAGACUCCUACGGGAGGCAGCAGUAGGGAAUCUUCCGCAAUGGACGAAAGUCUGACGGAGCAACGCCGCGUGAGUGAUGAAGGUUUUCGGAUCGUAAAACUCUGUUGUUAGGGAAGAACAAGUACCGUUCGAAUAGGGCGGCACCUUGACGGUACCUAACCAGAAAGCCACGGCUAACUACGUGCCAGCAGCCGCGGUAAUACGUAGGUGGCAAGCGUUGUCCGGAAUUAUUGGGCGU
rnacentral:rRNA from 1 species